rnacentral:rRNA from 1 species
GAUGAACGCUGGCGGCGUGCCUAAUACAUGCAAGUCGAGCGAACAGACGAGGAGCUUGCUCCUCUGACGUUAGCGGCGGACGGGUGAGUAACACGUGGAUAACCUACCUAUAAGACUGGGAUAACUUCGGGAAACCGGAGCUAAUACCGGAUAAUAUAUUGAACCGCAUGGUUCAAUAGUGAAAGACGGUUUUGCUGUCACUUAUAGAUGGAUCCGCGCCGCAUUAGCUAGUUGGUAAGGUAACGGCUUACCAAGGCAACGAUGCGUAGCCGACCUGAGAGGGUGAUCGGCCACACUGGAACUGAGACACGGUCCAGACUACUAAGAGAGGCAGCAGUAGGGAAUCUUACGCAAUGGGCGAAAGCUUGACGGAGCAAGGCCGAGUGAGUGAUGAAGGUCUUCGGAUCGUAAAACUCUGUUACUAGGGAAGAACAAAUGUGUAAGUAACUAUGCACGUCUUGACGGUACCUAAUCAGAAAGCCACGGCUAACUACGUG